UUUCCAGUGUAAAGGCCGGGGCUGUGUGAUCACAGCCCAGCUCUGUCAGGCCAUGGUGAAGUGGACAGUGCUGGUGUAGCUGGACUGCACGGCACCACUUCCCCUCGUUGGCACUGAUGUGAGAUCACAGGGACCUGAGACUCCGAUUGGGCAGCGGGCAGGAAUUAUUCUGCCAGCUGGCGGCCGUUGCCAGGAGCUGCAGCCUUUUUCUUGAACCAACAGCACUCACUCGUAGAACCACCAUUGCUCACUCCAGCAGACUAGCACAGCAAGAAAAUUAGCAGGAGCACAAAAAAAGAAAUCCACGUAUCUGUUUUUUUUUUUAUUAUUUAAAGAGUCAUUUCAGAGGCGGGGGGUGUGCAGGAAGCGAGAAGCGGGAGAGUCUCUGUGACGGCUGCACUGUUAACAAGGAUGUUUAUGUGCAUUUAAUUAAAAAAAAAAAAAGAAAUCCUGAAACAAAACAAAACCGGCAGAUGCAAAGCUGCCAAAGACGUGUUAAAUGAUUACCCAGGACGGGAAAAGUCAGGCACGCAGUACCUGGGACGGGUGCCAAGUGCCGACAAAAGACACCAGUGCAUGCUCAGAAGCAACGCUCUCAUUUCUGUUUUAAAGCAGCGAUCACUUAGAGUAGCUCAGCUUUAAUAUCUGCAGCACAGCUCCGGCGAACACGGGGCACAGAAACGUGUUGUGGAGUCCGCGCCCAAGCGCCGCCAUGACCCCCGUCAGCUUCAGCUAGCAGAGAUCCCCACCCGAGCGCUUCAAAAGCUGCACAGGAAUGGGCCUUUGCUGGGCCGGGUUGGCUCCAGUUAUGAUGCUGUCCUUGGGGCUGAGGUAGUAGAUUGAAUAGUUGUGGAGUAUGCGUUGUCCCUCUGAGAUAACUAUACAAUCUACUGUCUUUCCUAAGGAGACAGUCGAAUCGCCUGCCAACGAAGAAGGACUUCACAGCUCAGCGGCAUUUCGGUCAUUGCAGUCUUGUCUUAUUGCUUUGUAACUAAACUUGUAUGUAUCGUUAUGUUGUGACUUGGGGGG